AUGCGCCUUGCCAGCCCGCUCAGAAACUCAAAGGAAGUUGACGGGGGCCCGCACAAGCGGAGGAACAUGUGGUUUAAUUCGAUGAUACGCGAGGAACCUUACCUGGGCUUAAAUGGGGAGUGACAGCUGUCGAAAGAUGGUUUUCUUCGGACACUCUUCAAGGUGCUGCAUGGUUGUCGUCAGCUCGUGCCGUGAGGUGUCGGGUUAAGUCCCAUAACGAGCGCAACCCUUACCGUUAGUUACCAUCAGGUUAAGCUGGGGACUCUAGCGGGACUGCCACCGUAAGGUGAGAGGAAGGUGGGGAUGACGUCAAAUCAGCACGGCCCUUAUGUCCAGGGCUACACACGUGUUACAAUGGCCGGUACAAAGGGCAGCUACUUCGCGAGAAGAUGCUAAUCUCGAAAGCCGGUCUCAGUUCGGAUCGAAGUCUGCAACCCGACUUCGUGAAGCUGGAUUCGCUAGUAAUCGCGCAUCAGCCAUGGCGCGGUGAAUACGUUCCCGGGCCUU
rnacentral:rRNA from 1 species